rnacentral:rRNA from 1 species
UACGUAGGGGGCUAGCGUUGUCCGGAAUCAUUGGGCGUAAAGGGCGUGUAGGCGGUUUGUUAAGUCAUGUGUGAAAUCCCUCGGCUCAACCGGGGAAGGACGCAUGAAACUGGCAAGCUAGAGUGCCAAAGAGGGGGGUGGAAUUCCCGGUGUAGCGGUGAAAUGCGCAGAUAUCAGGAAGAACACCAAUGGCGAAGGCAGCUCUCUGGGACGGUACUGACGCUGAGACGCGAAAGCGUGGGGAGCGAACAGG